rnacentral:lncRNA from 1 species
UUUGAUGCAUUUGAGAAAUCGAAGACAACACCUAUAAUGACAUACAUGUCAGGUAUACCAACAACAUUUUUAUUACAGAUCCCAUAAAGUUUACCAAUGAUAGUGCCUGUCAUUAUUUUAAUGUGUUCUUGUUUUUAUGGUUAUUAGGAUUGUAGCUCAUACUACAUGUUAGGUAUGCUAGACUGUUAAUCGUUUACAUUAAGGGUAUAUAUGAUUAUGGUUGAUUUUGUUGGUUG